GACGAACGUUGGCGGCGUGCUUAAUACAUGCAAGUCAACUGAAGCAGAGGUAGUAAUAUCUCUGUGGAGGUGGCGCACGGGUGAGUAACACGUAGGUAAUCUGCCUUCAGGUCUGACAUAACCCCGAGAAAUACGGGGCGUAAUAGCAGAUGAUGCAGCGGCUUGCCAUCAAGACAGUUGUUAAAGCUUCGGCGCCUGAAGAUGAGCCUGCGUCUGAUUAGCUAGUUGGCGGAGUAACAGCCCACCAAGGCUACGAUCAGUAGCUGGUCUGAGAGGAUGAUCAGCCACACUGGAACUGAGACACGGUCCAGACUCC
rnacentral:rRNA from 1 species